rnacentral:lncRNA from 1 species
GGGUAUACAGUGACAACUAAUAGUCUGUCACUAUAGGCUUUACCUACGGAUAUAUUUUUACCUACAGUCAAAUUUAACUAUCACUAUAGGUAUCACCUACUAUUUCAAAUGUGUAGGUAAAAGAUAUUAAUUUAUACCUAUAAUCUCUAACUGUAGGUAAAAGUCAAUUUACUUGUACCUACGGUCUUCUGUAGGUAAAUG